rnacentral:rRNA from 1 species
GGUUAAGCGACUAAGCGUACACGGUGGAUGCCCUGGCAGUCAGAGGCGAUGAAGGACGUGCUAAUCUGCGAAAAGCGCCGGCGAGGUGAUAUGAACCCUUGACCCGGCGAUGUCCGAAUGGGGAAACCCAGUGCAAUCCGUUGCACUAUCGUUAACUGAAUACAUAGGUUAACGAGGCGAACCGGGGGAACUGAAACAUCUAAGUACCCCGAGGAAAAGAAAUCAACCGAGAUUCCCCCAGUAGCGGCGAGCGAACGGGGAGCAGCCCGGAGUCUGAAUCAGCUUGUGUGUUAGUGGAACGGUCUGGAAAGUCCGACGGUACAGGGUGAUAGUCCCGUACACGAAAGCACACAUGCUGUGAACUCGAAGAGUAGGGCGGGACACGUGGUAUCCUGUCUGAAUAUGGGGGGACCAUCCUCCAAGGCUAAAUACUCCUGACUGACCGAUAGUGAACCAGUACCGUGAGGGAAAGGCGAAAAGAACCCCGGCGAGGGGAGUGAAAAAGAACCUGAAACCGUGUACGUACAAGCAGUGGGAGCCUCUUUAUGGGGUGACUGCGUACCUUUUGUAUAAUGGGUCAGCGACUUAUAUUCUGUAGCAAGGUUAACCGUAUAGGGGAGCCGAAGGGAAACCGAGUCUUAACUGGGCGUUAAGUUGCAGGGUAUAGACCCGAAACCCGGUGAUCUAGCCAUGGGCAGGUUGAAGGUUGGGUAACACUAACUGGAGGACCGAACCGACUAAUGUUGAAAAAUUAGCGGAUGACCUGUGGCUGGGGGUGAAAGGCCAAUCAAACCGGGAGAUAGCUGGUUCUCCCCGAAAGCUAUUUAGGUAGCGCCUCGUGAACUCAUCUUCGGGGGUAGAGCACUGUUUCGGCUAGGGGGCCAUCCCGGCUUACCAACCCGAUGCAAACUACGAAUACCGAAGAAUGUUAUCACGGGAGACACACGGCGGGUGCUAACGUCCGUCGUGAAGAGGGAAACAACCCAGACCGCCAGCUAAGGUCCCAAAGUCAUGGUUAAGUGGGAAACGAUGUGGGAAGGCACAGACAGCCAGGAUGUUGGCUUAGAAGCAGCCAUCAUUUAAAGAAAGCGUAAUAGCUCACUGGUCGAGUCGGCCUGCGCGGAAGAUGUAACGGGGCUAAACCAUGCACCGAAGCUGCGGCAGCGACACUAUGUGUUGUUGGGUAGGGGAGCGUUCUGUAAGCCGUUGAAGGUGUGCUGUGAGGCAUGCUGGAGGUAUCAGAAGUGCGAAUGCUGACAUAAGUAACGAUAAAGCGGGUGAAAAGCCCGCUCGCCGGAAGACCAAGGGUUCCUGUCCAACGUUAAUCGGGGCAGGGUGAGUCGACCCCUAAGGCGAGGCCGAAAGGCGUAGUCGAUGGGAAACAGGUUAAUAUUCCUGUACUUGGUGUUACUGCGAAGGGGGGACGGAGAAGGCUAUGUCAGCCGGGCGACGGUUGUCCCGGUUUAAGCAUGUAGGCGGAGGUUCCAGGUAAAUCCGGUACCUUAUUAACGCUGAGGUGUGAUGACGAGGCACUACGGUGCUGAAGUGAUAAAUGCCCUGCUUCCAGGAAAAGCCUCUAAGCAUCAGGUAACACGAAAUCGUACCCCAAACCGACACAGGUGGUCAGGUAGAGAAUACCAAGGCGCUUGAGAGAACUCGGGUGAAGGAACUAGGCAAAAUGGUGCCGUAACUUCGGGAGAAGGCACGCUGAUAUGUAGGUGAAGCCCCUGCGGGCGGAGCUGAAAUCAGUCGAAGAUACCAGCUGGCUGCAACUGUUUAUUAAAAACACAGCACUGUGCAAACACGAAAGUGGACGUAUACGGUGUGACGCCUGCCCGGUGCCGGAAGGUUAAUUGAUGGGGUUAGCGGCAACGCGAAGCUCUUGAUCGAAGCCCCGGUAAACGGCGGCCGUAACUAUAACGGUCCUAAGGUAGCGAAAUUCCUUGUCGGGUAAGUUCCGACCUGCACGAAUGGCGUAAUGAUGGCCAGGCUGUCUCCACCCGAGACUCAGUGAAAUUGAACUCGCUGUGAAGAUGCAGUGUACCCGCGGCAAGACGGAAAGACCCCGUGAACCUUUACUAUAGCUUGACACUGAACACUGGUCCUUGAUGUGUAGGAUAGGUGGGAGGCUUUGAAGCGUGGACGCCAGUCUGCGUGGAGCCAACCUUGAAAUACCACCCUUUAAUGGCUGGUGUUCUAACGUGGACCCGUUACCCGGGUUGCGGACAGUGUCUGGUGGGUAGUUUGACUGGGGCGGUCUCCUCCCAAAGAGUAACGGAGGAGCACGAAGGUUGGCUAAUCCUGGUCGGACAUCAGGAGGUUAGUGCAAUGGCAUAAGCCAGCUUGACUGCGAGCGUGACGGCGCGAGCAGGUGCGAAAGCAGGUCAUAGUGAUCCGGUGGUUCUGAAUGGAAGGGCCAUCGCUCAACGGAUAAAAGGUACUCCGGGGAUAACAGGCUGAUACCGCCCAAGAGUUCAUAUCGACGGCGGUGUUUGGCACCUCGAUGUCGGCUCAUCACAUCCUGGGGCUGAAGUAGGUCCCAAGGGUAUGGCUGUUCGCCAUUUAAAGUGGUACGCGAGCUGGGUUUAGAACGUCGUGAGACAGUUCGGUCCCUAUCUGCCGUGGGCGCUGGAGAAUUGAGGGGGGCUGCUCCUAGUACGAGAGGACCGGAGUGGACGCAUCACUGGUGUUCGGGUUGUCAUGCCAAUGGCACUGCCCGGUAGCUAAAUGCGGAAGAGAUAAGUGCUGAAAGCAUCUAAGCACGAAACUUGCCCCGAGAUGAGUUCUCCCUGAGACUUUAAGUCUCCUGAAGGAACGUUGAAGACGACGACGUUGAUAGGUCGGGUGUGUAAGCGCAGCGAUGCGUUGAGCUAACCGAUACUAAUGAACCGUGAGGCUUAACCUU